UAAUUGAAAAGUUAAUCCUGCAGUUAUGUAUGAUAUAAUUAAAGCCAGAACCAGUGUAGGGGCAUUCAUAUUUUGUGUUAUAAUUUAAUUAAAAAACUUUAGGGCGCCACUUUAUUUUCAUGAAUGUGCAAUUUCAUCACAAAAUGUAUCAUUCCUGGCACUAUAUGCUUGAUUGCGAUGCUGAAAAUUAUCAUAAUGUGCAUAUUCUGAACUAUCUAUGAUUCGUAUGUGUUGCUAAUGUGGUUUAAGUUAGCGAAGCUCUUGGUUUACAUGCCAAAGUCACCUGAUUUUCCGUUCCAUUCCAUUGAAAAAAAAUUCGAAAUUAUCGCAGAACUAGCAUUAUUAGCCAUUCUUUAUCUCCCCUGAUAGUCAGUGUCCUCAAAAAUCGUUUGCCCAAGCAACCGCUUUAAUUAUCUACAGAAAAAAAAGAAAAGUAGACUCCGAAAAGGCAAGCAAAAAAGGGAAUAGGGAAAUGUUAAUAGAAGGCAGAAUGAUUAUUGUUCCCCCAUUUGAUUUUUGCAGACGAAGGGACAAAACUUUGCCUGUCGUCUGGCUAUGCCCGGUUCCUGUCGCUUCCAUCCAGCCGCCUAGGGCCCCAAACGGUAGGAAUGCCAGCGGAAAUGCCAAGCGGUAGCGACGACUAAUUGGCAGAGAGUUUAUCCAUACUGAAUGGCAUGAGUUGAGCGGGGUAAAGCGAGGGAAUACAGCGCUAAACGUAGGUGCAAAAUGAAACGGCAAAAAUAGAUUGACCGUGCAAAAACAAGAGAACUGAAAUAAUGGAGAGAGAGAGAGAGAGCGAUACAAAUCGAGAGUUAGAACGCGUAAGGGAGACGAGUGCGGCGCUCACUGAAUCGGUUAAGAGUACCGCAAGCCCAGUUUUGAAAAGCAGCACGUGACCAUAUGGUCAUGGACGUCGGACUCGGUUCGAUCGGCGUUUAUUUCAGCUAGACCUGGCAGACAAGCCAAAAGAGAGCGCUGCAAAAGACAAAAGCGAGACUGAGGAGAGAGACUGGCCAACAGUUGGGUGAGCAAGAUAGCAGACAAGCGGCGGCAAAUGCCUGGAAACAGAUCAGAAUGCUUUUUGCAGUGGACACUGGCUAAA
rnacentral:sRNA from 1 species